rnacentral:rRNA from 1 species
AAGAAGCACCGGCUAACUCCGUGCCAGCAGCCGCGGUAAUACGGAGGGUGCGUAGCGUUAAUCGGAAUUACUGGGCGUAAAGCGCAUGCAGGUGGUUUGUUAAGUCAGAUGUGAAAGCCCGGGGCUCAACCUCGGAAUUGCAUUUGAAACUGGCAAACUAGAGUACUGUAGAGGGGGUAGAAUUUCAGGUGUAGCGGUGAAAUGCGUAGAGAUCUGAAGGAAUACCGGUGGCGAAGGCGGCCCCCUGGACAGAUACUGACACUCAGAUGCGAAAGCGUGGGGAGCAAACAGGAUUAGAUACCCCUGGUAG